ensembl:lncRNA
AGGGGGAUCUGGGGGUGAUGGACAGAUUAGUCAGGGGGAUCUGGGGGUGAUGGACAGAUUAGUCAGGGGGAUCUGGGGGUGAUGGACAGAUUAGUCAGGGGGAUCUCAGGGGGGGGGUGAUGGACAGAUUAGUCAGGGGGAUCUGGGGGUGAUGGACAGAUUAGUCAGGGGGAUCUGGGGGUGAUGAACAGAUUAGUCAGGGGGAUCUGGGGGUGAUGGACAGAUUAGUCAGGGGGAUCUGGAGGUGAUGGACAGAUUAGUCAGGGGGAUCUGGAGGUGAUGGACAGAUUAGUCAGGGGAAAUGGAGGGUGAUAGACAUAUUAGUCAAAGUGAUCUGGGGGGUGAUGGACAUGUUAGUCUUCAAACCUCCCCUUGCAAAAAAUGCAUUGAAAGUACAUUGAAAAGCUACUUAAUUAGCCUUCUUAUCGUAACCCCUU